GCCGUGGGCUCUGGCUUUGGCAGGCGGGGCAACUCCAUGGUAAGGAGUAGGUCCUCGGUUCAAAUCCGAGCAACGGCUCCA
rnacentral:tRNA from 5 species